GAGAAUCCCGCCGGCCGGAAGUCCAAGGUUUCCAGGGGAAGGUUUGUCCGCCCUGGGGAAGUCGGGACCUAAGCAUAAGCAAAAAUGUGAUGGCGAAUGGAAAACAGGUUAAUAUUCCUGUACCGCUGUUAUCGCUUGAGAGACGGAGUGACGCAGGAAGGUAUGCGAGAAGGCUGACGGUUUAGCCUUUCUAAGGGCCCAGCGUGGGCGUGCAGGUAAAUCCGCACGCCUAAACGUGAGACCUGACGGGGAAGUGCAUUUGCAUAAGUCGCAGAUCCUACACUGCCAAGAAAAACUUCUAUCGAUGAGAAGCAGCGCCCGUACUGUAAACCGACACAGGUGGACAGAGUGAGAAACUUAAGGCCGACAGGAUAACUCUAGCUAAGGAACUCUGCAAAAUAGCCCCGUAACUUCGGGAGAAGGGGUGCCUGACAUACCUGAAGGAGAGAAGCGCUCCCAGGGGAAACAGGCCGCAGUGAAGAGUCUCAAGCAACUGUUUACCAAAAACACAGGUCUAUGCUAAGCUGAAAGGCGACGUAUAUGGGCUGACACCUGCCCAGUGCCGGAAGGUUAAGAGGAGGAGUGAGAGCUCCGAUUUGAAGCCCCGGUGAACGGCGGCCGUAACUAUAACGGUCCUAAGGUAGCGAAAUUCCUUGUCGGGUAAGUUCCGACCUGCACGAAUGGUGAAAUGAUUUGGGAGCUGUCUUGGCUGGAGACCUGGUGAAGUUGUAAUGUCGGUGAAGAUACCGACUACCUGCAGUAGGACGGAAAGACCCCGUGGAGCUUUACUGUAGCUUGGCAUUGGGUUCUGGCAAUGUGUGUAUAGGAUAGUUGGGAGACUGUGAUGUGAUGGCGUCAGCCAUUGCUGAGUCGCUGUUGGAAUACCAACCAUAUGCUGUCGGAAUUCUAAUCUGGCAACGGAGACAGUGCUAGGUGGGCAGUUUGACUGGGGCGGUCGCCUCCCAAAGAGUAACGGAGGCGUUCAAAGGUUCCCUCAGGCUGGAUGGAAAUCAGCCUAAGAGUGCAAACGCAUAAGGGAGCUUGACUGCAAGACUGACGGGUCGAGCAGGUACGAAAGUAGGAGUUAGUGAUCCGGCGGUUCCGUAUGGAAGGACCGUCGCUCAACGGAUAAAAGCUACCCCGGGGAUAACAGGCUGAUACUUCCCAAGAGUCCAUAUCGACGGAAGUGUUUGGCACCUCGAUGUCGGCUCGUCUCAUCCUGGGGCUGGAGAAGGUCCCAAGGGUUGGGCUGUUCGCCCAUUAAAGAGGCACGCGAGCUGGGUUCAGAACGUCGUGAGACAGUUCGGUCCCUAUCCACUGCAGGCGCUUGAAUAUUGAAAAGAUCUGACCUUAGUACGAGAGGACCGGGUUGGACAGACCUCUGAUGUAUCAGUUGUCACGCCAGUGGCAUGGCUGAGUAGUCACGUCUGGCACGGAUAACCGCUGAAAGCAUCUAAGCGGGAAGCCGACUUUGAGAUGAAUAUUCGUAGUAUCCAUAGAGAACAUAUGGUCGAUAGGCUAGGGGUGCAAGUGCAGCAAUGCAUUUAGCUGACUAGUACUAAUAUUACGUCUGCUUUUA
rnacentral:rRNA from 1 species